AGGGAAACCGAGUCUUAACUGGGCGUUAAGUUGCAGGGUAUAGACCCGAAACCCGGUGAUCUAGCCAUGGGCAGGUUGAAGGUUGGGUAACACUAACUGGAGGACCGAACCGACUAAUGUUGAAAAAUUAGCGGAUGACUUGUGGCUGGGGGUGAAAGGCCAAUCAAACCGGGAGAUAGCUGGUUCUCCCCGAAAGCUAUUUAGGUAGCGCCUCGUGAACUCAUCUUCGGGGGUAGAGCACUGUUUCGGCUAGGGGGUCAUCCCGACUUACCAACCCGAUGCAAACUACGAAUACCGAAGAAUGUUAUCACGGGAGACACACGGCGGGUGCUAACGUCCGUCGUGAAGAGGGAAACAACCCAGACCGCCAGCUAAGGUCCCAAAGUCAUGGUUAAGUGGGAAACGAUGUGGGAAGGCACAGACAGCCAGGAUGUUGGCUUAGAAGCAGCCAUCAUUUAAAGAAAGCGUAAUAGCUCACUGGUCGAGUCGGCCUGCGCGGAAGAUGUAACGGGGCUAAACCAUGCACCGAAGCUGCGGCAGCGACACUAUGUGUUGUUGGGUAGGGGAGCGUUCUGUAAGCCUGCGAAGGUGUGCUGUGAGGCAUGCUGGAGGUAUCAGAAGUGCGAAUGCUGACAUAAGUAACGAUAAAGCGGGUGAAAAGCCCGCUCGCCGGAAGACCAAGGGUUCCUGUCCAACGUUAAUCGGGGCAGGGUGAGUCGACCCCUAAGGCGAGGCCGAAAGGCGUAGUCGAUGGGAAACAGGUUAAUAUUCCUGUACUUGGUGUUACUGCGAAGGGGGGACGGAGAAGGCUAUGUUAGCCGGGCGACGGUUGUCCCGGUUUAAGCAUGUAGGCUGAUUGUCCAGGCAAAUCCGGAUAAUCAAGGCUGAGGUGUGAUGACGAGGCACUACGGUGCUGAAGUAACAAAUGCCCUGCUUCCAGGAAAAGCCUCUAAGCAUCAGGUAACAUCAAAUCGUACCCCAAACCGACACAGGUGGUCAGGUAGAGAAUACCAAGGCGCUUGAGAGAACUCGGGUGAAGGAACUAGGCAAAAUGGUGCCGUAACUUCGGGAGAAGGCACGCUGGUGUGUAGGUGAAGUCCCUGCGGAUGGAGCUGAGACCAGUCGAAGAUACCAGCUGGCUGCAACUGUUUAUUAAAAACACAGCACUGUGCAAACACGAAAGUGGACGUAUACGGUGUGACGCCUGCCCGGUGCCGGAAGGUUAAUUGAUGGGGUUAUCCGUAAGGAGAAGCUCUUGAUCGAAGCCCCGGUAAACGGCGGCCGUAACUAUAACGGUCCUAAGGUAGCGAAAUUCCUUGUCGGGUAAGUUCCGACCUGCACGAAUGGCGUAAUGAUGGCCAGGCUGUCUCCACCCGAGACUCAGUGAAAUUGAACUCGCUGUGAAGAUGCAGUGUACCCGCGGCAAGACGGAAAGACCCCGUGAACCUUUACUAUAGCUUGACACUGAACAUUGAGCCUUGAUGUGUAGGAUAGGUGGGAGGCUUUGAAGCGUGGACGCCAGUCUGCGUGGAGCCAACCUUGAAAUACCACCCUUUAAUGUUUGAUGUUCUAACGUUGGCCCCUGACCGGGGUUGCGGACAGUGUCUGGUGGGUAGUUUGACUGGGGCGGUCUCCUCCCAAAGCGUAACGGAGGAGCACGAAGGUUAGCUAAUCCUGGUCGGACAUCAGGAGGUUAGUGCAAUGGCAUAAGCUAGCUUGACUGCGAGCGUGACGGCGCGAGCAGGUGCGAAAGCAGGUCAUAGUGAUCCGGUGGUUCUGAAUGGAAGGGCCAUCGCUCAACGGAUAAAAGGUACUCCGGGGAUAACAGGCUGAUACCGCCCAAGAGUUCAUAUCGACGGCGGUGUUUGGCACCUCGAUGUCGGCUCAUCACAUCCUGGGGCUGAAGUAGGUCCCAAGGGUAUGGCUGUUCGCCAUUUAAAGUGGUACGCGAGCUGGGUUUAGAACGUCGUGAGACAGUUCGGUCCCUAUCUGCCGUGGGCGCUGGAGAAUUGAGGGGGGCUGCUCCUAGUACGAGAGGACCGGAGUGGACGCAUCACUGGUGUUCGGGUUGUCAUGCCAAUGGCACUGCCCGGUAGCUAAAUGCGGAAGAGAUAAGUGCUGAAAGCAUCUAAGCACGAAACUUGCCCCGAGAUGAGUUCUCCCUGAGACUUUAAGUCUCCUGAAGGAACGUUGAAGACGACGACGUUGAUAGGCCGGGUGUGUAAGCGCAGCGAUGCGUUGAGCUAACCGGUACUAAUGAACCGUGAGGCUUAACCUU
rnacentral:rRNA from 1 species